rnacentral:lncRNA from 1 species
GGAAAAGUAGGCCUCUGGGGCUACCGACUGUCGAUUGAUAAACACAAAAUUCAGUUAAUAUUCUUUAUUUGGCAAUUAGUAUUCCGGUUGUUCAGCAUUUAACCCUAUGUGAGCCUUCGGCGAGUCACAAUCACGUAGGUCCUGAUGCACCUGCUCGGGUUCUUGCACUUCGUUACGGAUGAUUGCGUUGUAGUUGCUGAGGCUACCAACUGCAUGGCCAACGCGAACAAAGUAACCAGGAAAAGGAGCUUCAUGUUGAGUAAUUGGAUUUCUGUGUAGAGCACUUAUCGACUUGAUGGGAACAACGGGUUUUGUGAUUGAUUGAUGUGGCAUUCGACGUACUAUUUAUACUAGUAACGAUUAUUAUUCGCACCAGCAACAGCACCAAGCCCAGCUGCGAGAAGUCCACAAAAUGUAAGCCAAAUAUUUGCUCUGUUAUGUAAGCUAUAAAAAUUCAGUUGGCAAUUCCAAAUAUGAGCCCAAGAGAUGUUUUUAUGUAUU